rnacentral:misc_RNA from 1 species
CUCCAUUAACCAAAAGUUAUGUGAAAACUUGCAGAGAUAAUUAUGUUUAUGAAUUAGUGUGGCGAAAAAUGCCAAAACAGCAGCUGAUGAAGUAAUGUUGCGCAUGGAAGAUUACCAUCCUAACUAAUUUGUUCUCUAAGUACCAAAUCACAAACAAAAUGUUAAUCUUCUGAGUUAAUAACAACACAGCAUAGAAAUGGGUGGCAAAGCGAAAUUUCCCCAUACUUACAAAAAGGAAGCCAUGCUCAGCGGAUGUUCCAACAAUCUCAUGCAAACAUCCAACAUUUCAGCAUCAGAAAUUCUUUUCAAAAUGACGAUGAUAAUCUCAAAGUUGAAUCUUUAAUAUAAGCUGCAGUGCACAUGUUCUGACCAGGCCAUAUCUGCAAAUGUUUUGGCCAUGCCAGGUUCCAUUACAAAUUCAUCUCAAUGAAGCAGUCUCCACAUGUUGCCAAAUGAUUAGAAGUUCAGAACCAAUUUGAAACACUGAAGUCCCGCAGCUUGCUGAGAUGCUUCUCCAUGUCUUGUCUAGUCUUGGUCCAUUCUUCUCUCUCUAUUACCGUGGUUGGAUCAUCUCUUUCACUCUAAAAUCAUUCAGAGGAAAUCAGUCAGGCAAUGCACAACAGAUAUACUUACAUUGAGAGAUUUACAGUGAUAGUCACCGCAUGAACUAUUUUGAAGGAGGUCCCAUUAUCACGUAUUACAAGCAAGUCACUCUUCCUAUCCCUAUUUCUUCCUCCAGGAACCGUAACCUAGGCACAUCAGUAAUAACAUGUGGUCAAAACAAAAUAGUGUACAAUUGUGAACAAAUUAUACUGUCAUCAUGAUACUCAAAUUACAUGAGCAAACAUAAGUCUAUAAAGUUUUUGAAACAGAAUCAGAUACAAUUGAGAUUGCAUAGUGUUGUUAAACCCGGGCAGACUCGACCAGAUAGUUUGACCAUAAUACCAGGAAAUGUCCUUGUGCAACCCCCCAAGUUGGGGGCAGGCAAAUGAGGCUAAAGGGUGACGCUACAUCACUUACUAAGGAAAUUUUCAUCACAACCCAUAAAUUCCUCUGUUAACUCUCCGGACAUUUCUGUUACAUAGGUUGUAAACAUUUUAUUGAAAGCCUUUUGUAUAUAUUUUCCAUAAUAUACAAUAUACAAAGUUGAACAAAUGAAUCUAUUUUUGAAACCAUAGGUAUUAAAAAAUAUGACUGCAAAAGCAGCGUGAUUCAUCAGAAUCAGAAUGGCUAAUUUGAUAGAGGAAAAGAUUAUAAAUAGAUACAAAAAAAACGACUUAAUAAUUAAAUUAAUUACCACUACUUUUUCUCUGGUUAUUGACUUUGUUUUGGAAUCAAUAACAUAUAUCUCCUCAAAAUCUAGCACAAAUUCCGGGUCACCUAAUCUUCGGUUCCUGUAGUGCUUUGUCAAGAAAACCUUCAAAAUCUCUCGCUCAGAUUUAUACAUAGGAUCUCGUGGUGCAUCAAUGGGCGGUUCUGUUACAUUGUAACGUCCAUAAUCACUCAUUGCACAGCGAAUGUACUGCAAUAUUUCCAGUAAAGAAACAACAGCCAUAAACAUGCGAUAGAAAUAAUGAUUGGCUCAUGACAGGUAAACUUCACUAUUUUAUCAAGAAAAGGGGCUUUAGUAAACUGCUACCAUGUUAAUAAACUGACAAUAUAUCAUACAUGAAAAUUUACCAUGUCCACUCAUUCCCUAUUGUCUAUUCCAAGAAUGAACCUAAUAAUAAGACACUCCUUAUAUCAAAGACAUCGAUUGUGCUGUUAUGCCACUUAACUGCUAACAUUGCUAAAAAUGCAGGAAGUAUUUCUGCCAACAAUCAAAAAGUGCCCUUGUUUCUUAACAUGCAUCUAUUUCAAGGAGUAAGUGUGAUCUUAAAAUCCAUAAUUACCUUACCAUUCAAGAAUCAACAUGCAUAUAUCAAAACCUGCCCUUUAUUAAAGCUAUAAGCAACGAAAGUUUCCCUUAUUAUACAAUAUAAAUUGUUUAUCUCUGUGCUCUUGACGUAUAACACAUUUCCCCAACAACAUAUUAUAUCACCUUUUGUGGCAUUGGUGCGAGAACCCUUGGAAUAGCAUAAAUAUCAGUAUCCGGUGGAGUAACAUACAUCUCUCUAAAAUCAUAAACAUCAUUAUCUGGGUCAGGCGGCUUCCUUAUGAAGAAAUCACAAUCCAUCAAGCUAAUUUUAUGAAACUCCUCCUCAUCAAUCCGGUAAUCAACAAUCUUUUCGGAAUCCCACCCCAGAGUGGAGACGAAACUCUUGCUAUCCACCAUGGCAAUGACCUCAUCUCCACCCGCAUCCGCUGCAACAGCAGCUGAGGGGUCAUAAUCGAGGUCGUAGUCUUUCUUAUUGUCCACCUCCUCCACUUCUUCCUCGUCCAUGUCGUAGUCGUCGGGCCCAACUUCAUCUGCGUCGCCUUCGUCGGCCUUGGGAAUAAAUGUAGUUGGGGUUCUGAAAGGUUUGGGGAAAUGAUAAGAAAUGGGUUUGAACUUGGAGGACGUGAAGAAUGUGACAGUGGUGGCGUUGGUGGUGAUUAAGCUUGAUGGUUUAGUGGUGAGCUGUGGUGGAGAGAAGAGGUGCAGAGUGGUGGCGGUGGCCAUGGCGUGGCAAUGUUUGGGAGGUGAGAGAGAAGUCAAAUGUCGAGUAAAGUUUUGAGUUUGGGGUUUUGGAUCGGGUUUUGG